AUCAAGAUUUGGGUUCUAACAGGGGACAAGAUGGAAACAGCCAUUAAUAUAGCUUAUGCAUGCAAGUUGAUUGAUAAUGACAUGAAACAGUUUAUUAUCAGUUCAGAAACUGAUGAAAUUAGAGAAGUAGAAAGCAGAGGUGACCAAGUGGAGAUCGCACACUUUAUGAGAGAUGCAGUGAAAAGUCAG